UACGUAGGGUGCAAGCGUUAAUCGGAAUUACUGGGCGUAAAGCGUGCGCAGGCGGUUAUGUAAGACAGGUGUGAAAUCCCCGGGCUUAACCUGGGAACUGCGCUUGUAACUGGCAAGCUAGAGUGUGGCAGAGGGGGGUGGGAAUUCCAGGUGUAGCAGUGAAAUGCGUAGAAGAUCUGGAGGAACACCGAUGGCGAAGGCAGCCCCCUGGGCUAACACUGACGCUCAUGCACGAAAGCGUGGGGAGCAAACAGG
rnacentral:rRNA from 1 species